UACGUAGGGGGCAAGCGUUGUCCGGAUUUAUUGGGCGUAAAGCGCACGCAGGCGGUCAGGUAAGUUUUGAGUGACAGGUGGCGGCUUAACCGCCACAGGCCUUGAAGGACUGCCCGACUUGAGGGCUUGAGAGGGACGCGGAAUUCCAGGUGGAGCGGUGAAAUGCGUAGAUAUCAGGAGGAACACCGGUGGCGAAGGCGGCCCUCUGGACGGAUACUGACGCUGAGACGCGAAAGCGUGGGGAGCAAACAGG
rnacentral:rRNA from 1 species